rnacentral:rRNA from 1 species
UACGUAGGGUGCAAGCGUUGUCCGGAAUUAUUGAGCGUAAAGAGCUCGUAGGCGGUCUGUCGCGUCUGCUGUGAAAACUCAGGGCUUAACCCUGAGCUUGCAGUGGGUACGGGCAGACUAGAGUGCGGUAGGGGGAGACUGGAAUUCCUGGUGUAGCGGUGAAAUGCGCAGAUAUCAGGAGGAACACCGGUGGCGAAGGCGGGUCUCUGGGCCGUAACUGACGCUGAGGAGCGAAAGCAUGGGGAGCGAACAGG